GGCGGCCGUAGCGCGKUGGUCCCACCUGACCCCAUGCCGAACUCAGAAGUGAAACGCCGUAGCGCCGAUGGUAGUGUGGGGUCUCCCCAUGCGAGAGUAGGGAACUGCCAGGC
rnacentral:rRNA from 1 species